UACGUAGGGUGCGAGCGUUGUCCGGAAUUAUUGGGCGUAAAGAGCUUGUAGGCGGUUUGUCGCGUCUGCUGUGAAAAUCCGGGGCUCAACCCCGGACUUGCAGUGGGUACGGGCAGACUAGAGUGUGGUAGGGGAGACUGGAAUUCCUGGUGUAGCGGUGAAAUGCGCAGAUAUCAGGAGGAACACCGGUGGCGAAGGCGGGGUCUCUGGGCCGAUACUGACGCUGAGGAGCGAAAGCGUGGGGAGCGAACAGG
rnacentral:rRNA from 1 species